rnacentral:rRNA from 1 species
CCCUUAGAUGCUCUGGGCCGCACGCGCGCUACACUGGUCGAUGCAACGAGUUUCUUUCCUUGGCCGACAGGCCUGGGCAAUCUUUGAACAUCGAUCGUGAUCGGGAUAGAUUCUUGUAAUUUUUGAUCUUUAACGAGGAAUUCCUAGUAAACGCAAGUCAUCAGCUUGCAUUGAUUACGUCCCUGCCCUUUGUACACACCGCCCGUCGCACCUACCGAUUGAAUGGUCCGGUGAAAUCUCCGGACUGGCGUGAGUCGGAGCAAUCUGACAAACGCCGGAAAGUUGAUUAAACCUUACCAUUUAGAGGAAGGUGAAGUCGUAACA